rnacentral:rRNA from 1 species
UGGGGAAUAUUGCACAAUGGGCGCAAGCCUGAUGCAGCCAUGCCGCGUGUGUGAAGAAGGCCUUCGGGUUGUAAAGCACUUUCAGCGAGGAGGAAGGGUAGUGUGUUAAUAGCACAUUGCAUUGACGUUACUCGCAGAAGAAGCACCGGCUAACUCCGUGCCAGCAGCCGCGGUAAUACGGAGGGUGCAAGCGUUAAUCGGAAUUACUGGGCGUAAAGCGCACGCAGGCGGUUUGUUAAGUCAGAUGUGAAAUCCCGCGCUUAACGUGGGAACUGC